GACGAACGCUGGCGGCGUGCUUAACACAUGCAAGUCGAACGGAAAGGCCCUGCUUGCAGGGUCCUCGAGUGGCGAACGGGUGAGUAACACGUGGGUGAUCUGCCCUGCACUUCGGGAUAAGCCUGGGAAACUGGGUCUAAUACCGGAUAGGAGCCAUUUUUAGUGUGAUGGUUGGAAAGUUUUUUCGGUGUAGGAUGAGCUCGCGGCCUAUCAGCUUGUUGGUGGGGUAAUGGCCUACCAAGGCGGCGACGGGUAGCCGGCCUGAGAGGGUGGACGGCCACAGUGGGACUGAGAUACGGCCCAGACUCCUACGGGAGGCAGCAGUGGGGAAUAGUGCACAAUGGGCGCAAGCCUGAUGCAGCGACGCCGCGUGGGGGAUGACGGCCUUCGGGUUGUAAACUCCUUUCGCUAGGGACGAAGCUUUUUGUGACGGUACCUAGAUAAGAAGCACCGGCUAACUACGUG
rnacentral:rRNA from 1 species